CUAGUCGAACGAACAGAACUAUGUCUGUAAGUGGCAUACUGCUCAGUAACACGUAGCUAACCUACCCUUAGGACGUUGAUAACCCCGAGAAAUUGGGGCUAAUAGGCGAUAGGUGUGAUGUCCUGGAAUGGUAUCACGCCCAAAGGUAUCCCAUACAUGUUUGGUAUACGCCUAAGGAUGGGGCUGCGGCCGAUCAGGCAGUUGGUGAGGUAAUGGCUCACCAAACCUUUGACCGGUACGGGCCAUGAGAGUGGUAGCCCGGAGAUGGACACUGAGACAAGGGUCCAGGCCCUACGGGGCGCAGCAGGCGCGAAACCUCCUCAAUGCACUAACGUGCGAAGGGGUUACCUCGAGUGCCACCUGAAGAAGGUGGCUUUUCCUUGGUCUAAAAAGCCUCGGGAAUAAGAGGGGGGCAAGACUGGUGUCAGCCGCCGCGGUAACACCAGCCCCUCGAGUGGUGGGGAUGAUUAUUUGGCCUAAAGCGUCCGUAGCCGGCCGGGUAAGUCUCCCGUUAAAUCCAGCGUCUCAAGCGUUGGACUGCGGGAGAUACUGCCUGGCUAGAGAGUGGGAGAGGUCAGCGGUAUUCUGGGGGUAGGGGCGAAAUCCUUUGAUCCCCGGAGGACCACCAGUGGCGAAGGCUGCUGACUAGAACACGUCUGACGGUCAGGGACGAAAGCUGGGGUAGCGAACCGGAUUAGAUACCCGGGUAGUCCCAGCCGUAAACGAUGCAUGCUAGGUGUUGGGUUGGCCACGAGCCACCCCAGUGCCGCAGGGAAGCCGUUAAGCAUGCCGCCUGGGAAGUACGAUCGCAAGGUUGAAACUUAAAGGAAUUGGCGGGGGAGCACCACCAGGCGUGAAGCCUGCGGUUUAAUUGGAGUCAACGCCGGG
rnacentral:rRNA from 1 species